UAAAGCGGGGAGCACACACUUUUGCAUAAGCGCAUAACCAUAAACAUAAAGAAAUUGAUUGGUCCACAAAUGUAUGCAUAAGAAAAUGAACCAAUCAAUUUCCUUAUGCUUAUUGUUAUGCGCUUAUGCAAAAGUGUGUGCUCCCCGCUUAAUCAGCCAUAUAAAAGAAGAAAAAGAUAUUUAUUUAUUUACAAAAAUAGGUUAAUCUGUAGCUACAGCUGUCAGUUGACAUGUUUCAAUGAAUAACAUUAUAUUACAUAUUUAUAAUAACUGCUAGUUUUUAAUAAAUAUGCUAAGAAAGAAGAAAAUCCAAGAACAAAAAAUAUAUCCAGAGAAAAAUUUUAAUGUUUAUGAAAAAUAUGGGGCUCAACGAAGCAAUAAUCAAGUUGCUAGAAUUAUUUAAUCCUGGCUAAUUUUGUGAUUAUUGCCAUACAACACAUCGAAUAUACUAUCAAUCAGAGCCUAAUUUAUAUGGGAUAAUUAUGGAGACGUUAAUAAAUAUCAAAAUGAUGAGUCAUCCAGUAUCUAUAUGUAGUAGCAUUUCAAGUUAUAUUGAAACAGACAUACAUGAUGAUAGAUUAUUCAUGGAUUUCUUUGAAACAAUCAUUAAUAAUUCUGAAUGUGGUUCUGGAAUGUUAUUGAAACUUAAGCUGGAACAUUUUUAUCAUAGUAAAUUUCACAAGUAAGCAAAUGUGCAUUACUAUAAUUUAUGUAUAAUUUGAUACAUUAAUAUAUAUUAAAUCUAUAUAUACAUAUAACAAAAUAUAUAAGAAUUUUUAUACAAUUAAUAUAUGAAUUUUUAUUUACAAUUGAAUUGGAAGAAACUAAAUUAAUUGUAUGCUGCUUAUUUAUGAUGUUUAUAUUUUUAAUAAAAAAAAGCUAUAAUAUUUUUUUAUUAAAAAUAUUUACUUAAAUAUGAAAAAGAAUGGAAAAAUAUGGAAAACACUAAACUAAAAAAGUUUAUCGUUUUGAUAUUAACAAUAUUAUAUAAUUAAAAAGCAAUAGAAGCUUGACAUUGAUAGUCCUUCAAGAAUUCUCUCAAUUUCGACUUUUGAAUUAUAUUUGAAUCUAAUAAUACAGCUAUAUACAAUUGCUUUUAGUUGUAAUUUUCAAAACAAUUAUGUAGCACACUCGGAUAGAGAACAAAAUUAAAUUAAAAAAUUAAUUUGGUCCAGUGUGUUAUUUUAUGUCAAUGGCUAAUUCGAUUGAUUUUCAAAAUUGUUUUAAUAUAUCAAACUUUCUAUAUAAUUUCGCCGGCGGACAAUAGCGAUCGCAGUAGCAUAAACUUUAUCGAUACAUAUGAAAUUACAAGCGUAAAAGAGGCUUGACGGCAUAAAAUUUCCGAAGCGGAAAAACAUGGGUGAAUGAAAAUCAUGUCAAGUCGUUAAUUGAAAUCGUUAAAUCCUAAACCGACAACGAAGCCGUUCUCUGCAUUCAUGUCUGUUUAUAUAAUUUAUUAGUGAAUGAUUUCAGCAAGAGACAUUAUGCAAAGUUUAUUGCUCUUGAUAAAAGAAUAAAAGAAAGGAAGACUGGAUAAUAACGAUGUAAAACAAAGUAUCGCGCGCAGAUGUGCGGUAAGAGUUUCUGAAGAGGGUUUCUGAAAAUGCGGAAAAGGCAGAAAGCAGAAAGAAAGAGAAAUAAAGACCAAUUUGUUUGGAUCUGACAAUGAGAUGCAGAUAAAAUUAAUUAUUUGUCAUCACGUUCGGAAAAUAUCACGCUGUCAUUUUAAGUAACAAAGAACAAAUUACGUACAAACAAAAAUUUUUAAACAUGCGAAAGAUAAAUUCUUUUCUGCAAGAUGAUGGAAAAGUUGAAAAAGAGAGAAUGGCACUUAAUAUAAUAAUGGCACUUAUAAUAUUGUGCGAAUAGUUUAUUUGUGAAUAAUUAAUACAAGGCUAUCAAUGAUCGUCCAUAUCCACUUUCACAAUUGCGAAAAAUCGCGAAAAAUGUUUUCCUGAAAAAAUGUGAAAGAGAAACAAAAAGUUAAGCAUACUACUAAUACAAUCUUAUAAUGAUAUUAUUAAAAAUUGUUAUUUUCUUUCUAAAAAAAUUUAGAUUACAUGGACUAUUUAAUACACAUCAGUAUCAAGUCAAGAUGUUUUAGAAACUACUUAUUAAUGAAAAAGAACAUGAUCGCCGGUCAUUAUAUGGCCUACACAUUAUAUUUAUUUAUUAUUUUAUCUGUUUUAAAAUUAUUGUCAUUAUAUUCACAUAUUAUAAAAAUUUACACAAUUAACAAAUUUAGUGAGUAAUGCAUAUUACAGCUAAUCGUCGAUUUCAAUGAUUUGUUGUCAAGGACACAACUUUGAAUAAAGUUUUGAACUUUCGAAAGGUUUUAGUCAUCGCAUCUUGUUCGCAUCAAGUUCGCAAAAAGUUAUAAAUAAAAUAAGUUAACAAAUUGAAUAUAUUUUUCUGAUUAAUUUUCUAAAUAAUAUUAAGAAAUAUAUACAUAUAUACAGAUAUAUACAGAUAUAUAUGUGUAUAUUUGUAUAUGUAUACACAUAUAUAAAUAUAUGGCAUGUGUGUAUAUUUUGUAAAGUGGAAGCGUGGAAGGGAAAGGAGCUCUUCUUCUGCCCCUACAUCUACACAAAAAAUUCUAACCCAAACUUAAUUUUAAUUUAAAAUUAGAAUUAUAAUAUAUAGGGUGUCUGGCAAAGAUUGUGAUUCACCAGAUCUCAGGUGAGGUCAGCCCUAAUGAAUAAUUAUUAAUUAGUGUUAUAAAAAACAAAUAAUAUAGUAUAUUAUAAGAAUUAAAAUAUAUAUAGCAAUGUAAAAUAAUAAUAGAUUUAUGUAUAUAGAAAAAAUUAGAAUAAGAAAAAAAUUUGAUCCAUGUUCCAAUGUCAUUUUUCUUAUUAAUAAAAUGUAGAAGACAAGCAUAAUCGAUCUGCACAUAGAGAUACGCAUGCGAGAUACGCUACAGUUUCUUUAAUCCUUUCUGAUCUCGAACUACUCUGCGAGGACGCUCUAAACAUAGUUCGCGAAAUUAGUUUGUGACUUCGUGCAGAGAUUAAACAGCAUAUCGACACCAUCCAGUACCAAUCAUCAGAGAGUUUGAUUUGGGGCAUGAUUAAACCAGAUUAAUAAGUUGCUUGAGUGCACAUUUCGCUGAACGGUCGAGUGCGUUGUAUUCGGUAGAAGAAAGUUCUUCUAUACGAAAGUUUACUCCUAUAUAUUCUAUCUUAUCUGCCCAACUAAUAAAUAGAUUUUGACUAUUUACAGUAAAGGUUGCUAAUGAAAGUUUGUAUUAUCAAUUAACUCUAUUUUAUCAUUUAUUUUUCUUAUAAACAGAAUCGUUAAAUCAAUGUUCAGCACGAACGUGCGGGUAAAUUUUUUUAUUCGUGCGUACAAAACUGUGUUCCAAUCGUUCACCGUAAAUCAGUAAAUUAUUUCAUACUUUUCAUACUCAUCUAUUAAUUGAAGAAUCAUU